GACGAACGCUGGCGGCGUGCUUAACACAUGCAAGUCGAGCGACGCUCUUCCUUCGGGGAGAUGACGGAGCGGCGAACGGGUGAGUAACACGUGGGCAACCUGCCCCUAGCUCUGGGACAACACCGGGAAACCGGUGCUAAUACCGGAUACGACAUCGAGCGGCAUCUCUCGAUGUGGAAAGUUUUUUCGGCUAGGGAUGGGCCCGCGGCCUAUCAGCUUGUGGGUGGGGUAAUGGCCCACCAAGGCGACGACGGGUAGCCGGCCUGAGAGGGCGACCGGCCACACUGGGACUGAGACACGGCCCAGACUCCUACGGGAGGCAGCAGUGGGGAAUAUUGCGCAAUGGGCGAAAGCCUGACGCAGCGACGCCGCGUGAGGGAUGACGGCCUUCGGGUUGUAAACCUCUUUCAGCAGGGACGAAUUCAGACGGUACCUGCAGAAGAAGCACCGGCCAACUACGUG
rnacentral:rRNA from 1 species